AAGUCGGAGUCGCUAGUAAUCGCAGAUCAGCAUUGCUGCGGUGAAUACGUUCCCGGGCCUUGUACACACCGCCCGUCACGUCACGAAAGUCGGUAACACCCGAAGCCGGUGGCCCAACCCCCUUGCGGGGAGGGAAUCGUCGAAGGUGGGACUGGCGAUUGGGACGAAGUCGUAACAAGGUAGCCGUACCGGAAGGUGCGGCUGGAUCACCUCCUUUCUAAGGAG
rnacentral:rRNA from 1 species